rnacentral:miRNA from 1 species
UCACACCGAUGUCGUCAAAGGU